CUACGGGUCGCUCCAGGCGCGGAACCUUUACAAUGCACGAAAGUGUGAUAAGGGAAUCCCAAGUGUUUUGCUUUUAGCAAGGCUUUUGCUAUGUGUAAAAAGCAUGGCGAAUAAGUGGUGGGUAAGACUUGUGCCAGCCGCCGCGGUAACACCAGCGCCACAAGUGGCAACCGCUUUUAUUGGGCCUAAAGCGUCCGUAGCCGGUUCAGUAAAUUUUCUGUGAAAUCGUUGGGCUUAACCUAACGUCGUGCAGGAAAGACUACUGGACUAGGGACCGGGAGGCGUCAGAGGUAUUCCUGAGGGAGCGGUAAAAUGCUAUAAUCUCAUGAGGACCUCUUGUGGCGAAAGCGUCUGACGAGAACGGAUCCGACGGUCAGGGACGAAAGCCAGGGGAGCAAACCGGAUUAGAUACCCCCGUAGUC
rnacentral:rRNA from 1 species